CAGCGAUGUAGUCAUCUCUAAAAUAUCCUUCCUGCUUUUGAGCUUCUGCAAUUUAAUGAAUUCGAAUUUGGAAAAGAUGUGAUUUAUAGGUAUUUUAUUGUGGAUGUCAUCAAAAUUGAAGUCAACCAAAAAGUCUAUGGCGAGUAUAAGAUGAAAUUGUUUUUUGAGGCCUCCAGGACGAGGUGAACCGCCGGGUUUCAAAAUGUUUCGCAUGGUUUGGAUCUAGUUAAUAGAAAACUCUUAAUAAAGAAUGGUCAAGCGGAAGGUUUAUACUUACAUAAGUCGA